AAAAAAACAGAGCAGCAAACCAACUCCUCUUUAAAUUCACUCACAUUUCCAUCAACAUGAACAUGAUCGACGAUCAACGUCGUGGUCCGCCACACGCGGCCUUAUUAGCGGUGGUGGUUAUAGCAGUGAUGAUCGUUCCGUCAUUAAUCGGUGAAAAUGGUGAAGCAAUCACUGAAUUCAUCUCUGAACUUCUUACCCCAAUUGGAUUACUCCUUUUGCCUAUAAUUUUACUUCUCACAAUUCAAUUUCUCUCAUCUGAUAGCGGCUCUUUCGUCUCGAGUAUCUUUUCGAGUGGUGAGCCAAAUUCAAUUCAUCGUGCUAGUGGUUCCCCUGUUGGUGUUGCUCUCGUUCUUCUCCUUGUUCUGUUUCUUCUGUAUAAUCCAUUUUCGCUCUUUGGUGGUGAUGAUGAAGAUUGAAGAAACGAAAGAAACAAAAUGAUUCAGAGACGAAUUCAGAAUUCAGAAUUCAAACUCGAAGAUUCAAAGGUUUUAACACGAGGAUUUUGAUUUAUUAGAUUUGAGAUCUAUUAUUUUAUUUCACUUUUUAAUACAUAUAUGAGUUUCGAGCAAUUUGAACUAAUAAGUUACGUACUUUAUUUGUUCAUAGGUUUAAUAUUUAAUAUUUUCAGUACGGAACACGUUGUAUAUUUUUGAAAUUAUAAGUUCAAAUUUUAAUUAUUU
rnacentral:misc_RNA from 1 species